GAACCGUCGUGUUUACAGGCACGGAAGAAUCCCGGUUGAGCGAAUUCAACAGCUCCUCGUUCUCUUUGCGAACUGAAACAUAUACGCAUAACACAUGUAAAUAGCAAGACUGCCUUGGGAUAUCAGUACGAAGUUUGGAGGUUAUGAGACCAAUAGGAGGGAAACAGAUACACCGAGCGAUCUCAUUUAUUUGUCUACGUUUAUACACAACUCCACGUGGCGGAGAUUACUAGUCGCUAAAUGACUCGUUAAAUCAGCUGUCAUUCGCCAGUGAUUGUGGAACACGUUCCUUAGAGCCUGUGGCUGGACUGUGGAAGGAGCUGUGGGUCAGGGUGAUCACCACCACGAGAACCGAUGCCACCAGAAGGAAGAGAAAUGUCGCCAGUAUUAUAAUAGCGAUUCUUCGAUGCCGUCUAGCCUGUUCA